GCAGCAUUAGACACAUUCACGGGGGAACAUUUGGACAGAAGGAGGGGAGAGCGGUUUUGGCUUAUCACAGUUCUAAAUUAGAUCCCAUAGAACUAGGACAAGUAGGCUGCACCAGACAUUUGGCCGCAAUAGCUCGAGCGGUACAGAAGACUGCAUACUUGAAGGUGUGAAUAUGACAUCUGGAUUGCCACCUACUGAGGGUGGUCAUGACUGUGCGGAAGUAGCUAGGAAGGAGACGAAGGUGACGAACGCAGAGACAGCCGCCAGCCAAGGGAAGCAGGUUCCAGUCAUACCGCCAGGAAGCCGGGUGUGGAUUAAGGCCCAUAAACGCAAGUGGAUUGAUCCAAGGUGGUCCGGUCCAUGGGAGGUAGUAUUGGCAACCUCACACUCGGUAAAGGUGAAAGGUAAAGCGGGAGCCACUUGGCAUCAUCUCACACAUUGUGCACCUGCUAAGGCACCAAGCCAGACCCUUGCGGAGACCCGAUUAAAUACCAGGCAAGUUAAUUCAGAGCCAAAAGACACAGGAGGGAACAAAGCAGCAGAAAAUGUCUCGCCCACAGCGUAAGUAUCAGUUGGUAGUAGGGGGUUCAAGUUCAGCUCGGGGAAGUGCAGCUGUUCACACAGGUGACGAUGACAUGACGUCUGUAAGUGAUCUAUCCCAUCCCAGUCGACAAGAUGUUUCCUUACCACCUAACAUCCAAGCAGCAAUUGCUCUCACGUUGACAUUCAAGGAAAAUAUAACUGCAUCUGUUCAAUUUGAUUAUUGUGAUAUUGCAGCCUGCGGAGUCCAAGACCUCAGGUUUUGGAGGUCGGACCAAUACUUGUGUUCCACCACCAACCAAUGUGGACCAGGAGUCAGGUUUGGUAAGCCAGUGGAGCAGUACGGCUGUGACUGCGAGGAGGCAGAAUGGAAGUUCGCACACACUGGUAGAUGGAAGUCAUCCAAAACUGGUCCUAAACCUGGGCUACAGACCCGUUUAACGAUGCGGAAAAACCGGUAUCCAGAUUUGGCUAAAUGUGGGGGAGGGUUGUGCAAUCCACUAAUAAUCACAUUGAAAAAUCCAGAAUUGGGGGACAGUGGACUAUACGUGUUGAAAGGAGGGACAUACGAUAUUGAAAGCCCACAAGGGGUGUAUAAGAUUGUUGUUAAACCCUCUGCUAACAAACAGGAAUCCACUGCUGAUCAGGUUGGAGCUGAAGCUGACACUUCUUGGAAGGGUGUGGUAAGGCGGGAAACUGGAUUCUCGGAGUCUAAUCUAUGGCUCCAAUGGGUACAGUAUACUGCCACAAACAUGCACAGUACAGAUUGUAUAGUGUGUUCUCAACCUAGGCCUAUGCCCACUCCUGUACGUUCU
ensembl:lncRNA